GACGAACGCUGGCGGCGUGCCUAAUACGUGCAAGUCGAGCGCAGGAAAUUGACGGAACCCUUCGGGGGGAAGUCGACGGAAUGAGCGGCGGACGGGUGAGUAACACGUAGAGAACCUGCCCUCAGGUCUGGGAUAACCACGAGAAAUCGGGGCUAAUACCGGAUGGGUCAUCGGACCGCAUGGUCCGAGGAUGAAAGGCGCUUCGGCGUCGCCUGGGGAUGGCUUUGCGGUGCAUUAGCUAGUUGGUGGGGUAAUGGCCCACCAAGGCGACGAUGCAUAGCCGACCUGAGAGGGUGAUCGGCCACACUGGGACUGAGACACGGCCCAGACUCCUACGGGAGGCAGCAGUAGGGAAUCUUCCACAAUGGACGAAAGUCUGAUGGAGCAACGCCGCGUGAACGAUGAAGGCCUUCGGGUCGUAAAGUUCUGUUGUAAGGGAAGAACAAGUGCCGCAGGCAAUGGCGGCACCUUGACGGUACCUUGCGAGAAAGCCACGGCUAACUACGUGCCAGCAGCCGCCGUAA
rnacentral:rRNA from 1 species